rnacentral:rRNA from 1 species
GAUGAACGCUGGCGGCGUGCCUAAUACAUGCAAGUCGAGCGAACAGACGAGGAGCUUGCUCCUCUGACGUUAGCGGCGGACGGGUGAGUAACACGUGUAUAACCUACCUAUAAGACUGGGAUAACUUCGGGAAACCGGAGCUAAUACCGGAUAAUAUAUUGAACCGCAUGGUUCAAUAGUGAAAGACGGUUUUGCUGUCACUUAUAGAUGGAUCCGCGCCGCAUUAGCUAGUUGGUAAGUUAACGGCUUACCAAGGCAACGAUGCGUAGCCGACCUGAGAGGGUGAUCGGCCACACUGGAACUGAGACACGGUCCAGACGCCUAAGGGAGGCAGGAGUAGGGAAUCUUACGAAAUGGGCGAAAGCCUGAAGGAGCAACGCCGCGUGAGUGAUGAAGGUCUUCGGAUCGUAAAACUCUGUUAUUAGGGAAGAACAAAUGUGUAAGUAACUAUGCACGUCGUGACGGUACCUAAUCAGAAAGCCACGGCUAACUACGUG